GGGGCGGCAGGUGGCGUGGACGCGGUAAUGCUGGGGUGGCGAGCGUUGUCCGGAUUGAUUUGGCGGAUAGGGCUUGUAGGCGGGUUAGUGGGUCUGCGGUGAAAAUCCGGGGCGCAAUGCCGGCCUUGGAGUGGGUACGGGCAGAGUAGAGUGUGGUAGGGGAGACUGGAAUUCCUGGUGUAGCGGUGGAAUGCGCAGAUAUCAGGAGGAACACCGAUGGCGAAGGCAGGUCUCUGGGCCACUACUGACGCUGAGAAGCGAAAGCAUGGGGAGCGAACAGGAUUAGAUACCCGUGUAGUC
rnacentral:rRNA from 1 species